UACGUAGGGUCCGAGCGUUGUCCGGAAUUACUGGGCGUAAAGAGCUCGUAGGUGGUUUGUCGCGUUGUUCGUGAAAACUCACAGCUCAACUGUGGGCGUGCGGGCGAUACGGGCAGACUUGAGUACUGCAGGGGAGACUGGAAUUCCUGAUGUAGCGGUGGAAUGCGCAGAUAUCAGGAGGAACACCAAUGGCGAAGGCAGAUCUCUGGGCCGUAACUGACGCUGAGGAGCGAAAGCAUGGGGAGCGAACAGG
rnacentral:rRNA from 1 species